rnacentral:rRNA from 1 species
UCUGGUUGAUCCUGCCAGUUGUCAUAUGCUUGUUUCAAGGACUAAGCCAUGCAAAUGUCAGUGGACCUGAGUUCACUCGGGGGGACUGUGUACGGCUCAUUAAACGGUUAAUGGUCUACCCAACAGAGUGGGCAUUCGUGCUCACCGACGGGAUAACCGCCCUAACUGGGCAGCUAAUACCUGGAAGAAGAAUCCUUGACCGUCUAACCACUUUUUGAGAAAUCAGGGAGUGGUGGUCUAGGAUGCUGUUGGCCGGAACAAAGACUAACGCCUUCACGGGCAGAUGUAAUUGUUGACGCAGGCCCAUGUAGCGGAAGCACCUUUGGUGCGUUGUUGGACGAAUUCACCACCUAUCAGGUAGAAGGUAGUGUAGUGGACUACCUUGCCUCUGACGGGUAACGGAGGAUUGGGGUUCGAUUCCGGAGAGGGUGCCUGAGAAAUGGCAACCAUGACUACGGUCAGCAGCAGGCGCGCAAAUUGCCCAAUGCUAACACAUAGCGAGGCAGCGACGAAAAAUAGUAUUCCUGCGGUCUUUAUGGCCUCAGGAUGCAAUGGAUUGUAUCUAAUACACACUGCUGAGUAUCUAUUGGAGGGCAAGUCUGGUGCCAGCAGCCGCGGUAAUUCCAGCUCCAAGAGCGUAUAUAAAUGUUGUUGCGGUUAAAAAGCCCGUAGUUGGAUUUGAGAGCAUAGCUUGUGGUUUGUACCCUCGGUGCGUUCGCGCAUGCGAGGGAUUACGGCCACGCAUAGGCCUUGCUCUGAGACAUGCGGGAUCGUCCAGUGGCUGAGGGCUCAUUCAGUUGUGCCUGAGGCAACUUCGGAGGGAUCACACUCCAUAAGCUGCACCCGCAGAAGUCACUGUGAGUAAACCAGAGUGUUCAAGGCAACCAUCAUGCGUGGUUGAAUGUUAAAGCAUGGAAUGACAAGGGAUCGACCUUCGGGGCCUCUUUUUGUUGGUUUUUAAGCCUUGAUAGGGGAAUCUUGCGGUUGCCAAUCGGCGUGGUUGUCACCUCGGUGACGCCAUGUUGAUGCGGCCGCGCACGGGAUCAAUAGGAGCACAGGGGGCUAUGGGUACUGGGGGGCUAGUGGUGAAAUACUGAGACCCCCCCAAGACCGACAUCAGCGAAAGCACUUAGCUAUUGUGCUUUCAUUAAUCAAGGACGAGAGAUCGGGGAUUGAAGAGGAUUAGACACCCUCGUAAUCCGUUCUGUAAAUUCUGCAGACUUGGGAUCGGUCAGCGCUCUGUUUUUAGACCUGAUCGGCACCUUCCUCCUCUAUCGAGAAAUCAAAGUUUUUGUGUUCCGGGGGGAGUACAUUCGCAAGGCUGAAACUUAAAGGAAUUGACGGAGAACCACCACCAGUCGUGGAGUGUGUGGCUUAAUUCGACAACACGGGAAAUUUUACCAGGCCAGGACGUGGUAAGGAUUGCCAGAUUGAUAGCUCUUGCAUGAUUCCGCGAAGGGUGGUGCAUGGCCGCUUCUGGUUGGUGAAGCGAUUUGUCUGCUUAAUUGCGUUAACGAACGAGAUCUCUGCCAAUUACUAGAUGCCUGUGUCG